UACGUAGGGGGCUAGCGUUGUCCGGAUUUAUUGGGCGUAAAGAGCGUGUAGGCGGCCAGGUAGGUCUGCUGUGAAAACUCGAGGCUCAACCUCGAGACGCCGAUGGAAACCAUGUGGCUAGAGUCCGGAAGAGGAGAGUGGAAUUCCUGGUGUAGCGGUGAAAUGCGCAGAUAUCGGGAGGAACACCGGUGGCGAAGGCGGUUCUCUGGGCCUUACCUGACGCUGAGGAGCGAAAGCGUGGGGAGCGAACAGG
rnacentral:rRNA from 1 species